GAAAGAGACCCUGAAACCAUGCGCCUACAAGCGGUCGGAGCCGCGUAAUGCGGUGACGGCGUGCCUUUUGCAUAAUGAGCCUGCGAGUUGUGGUCAUUGGCGAGGCUAAGAGCCGAAGGUUCGGAGCCGGAGCGAAAGCGAGUCCGAAGAGGGCGUAUAGUCGAUGGCUGCAGACGCGAAACCGGGUGAUCUACGCAUGGGCAGGCUGAAGGCUGGGUAACACCAGCUGGAGGGCCGAACCGGUAAGCGUUGAAAAGCUUUCGGAUGACCUGUGCGUAGGAGUGAAAGGCCAAUCAAACCCGGAGAUAGCUCGUACUCCCCGAAAUGCAUUUAGGUGCAGCCUCGGUAAAGACCGACGGAGGUAGAGCGACCGAUAGGGUGCGAGGGCUUCGCCGCCUAUCAAGCCCUGACGAACUCCGAAUGCCGUCGGUUGCUUACCGGGAGUGAGGGCGCGGGUGCUAAGGUCCGCGUCCGAAAGAGGAACAACUCAGACCACCGUCUAAGGCCCCGAAAUCCGGGCCGAGUUGAAGCCAAUAACGAGGUGGGACCGCAUAGACAGUUAGGAUGUUGGCUUGGAAGCAGCCAUUCAUUCAAAGAGUGCGUAACAGCUCACUAAUCGAGCGGUCCCGCGUGGAUAAUAAUCGGGCAUAAGUCCGGUGCCGAAGACGUGGAAUCAACCAUGAAGGUUGAUUGGUAGGGGAGCAUUCUGCCGCCGGAGAAGGAGGGCCGCGAGACCCUCUGGAGGUUGCAGAAAAGCAAAUGCAGGCAUAAGUAACGACAAAGGGGGCGGGAAACCCCCUCGCCGGAAGGCCAAGGGUUCCUGAUCAACGCUAAUCGGAUCAGGGUAAGCCGGGACCUAAGCAAAAGCCGCGAGGCGUAUGCGAUGGACAAACGGUAAAAAUUCCGUUGCCUCCGGUUUGAGAGCCCCGUUGAUGACGGAGGAGCGAAAGACGCGCGUGCUGACGGAACAGCACGUUAAAGGGAAGUAGCCUUAUGGUGAAGCCCGACAGUACACAGAGGCUUCGGCCGAAGUGAUAGCCGUACCGUAGCAGACUCCCGAGAAAAGUCAGCGAGAGGCGCUUGAUCAAACCGGGGCCCGUACCGAAAACCGACACAGGUGGCCGGGUAGAAAAUACUGAGGCGCUCGAGAGAUUCACGGUCAAGGAACUAGGCAAAUUGGCCCCGUAACUUCGGGAGAAGGGGCCCUCGUUUAGCAAGCGAGGCGCAGAGAAUAAGUCCAGGCAACUGUUUAGCAAAAACACAGGGCUGUGCCAAGCCGCAAGGCGCUGCAUACAGCCUGACACCUGCCCGGUGCCGGAAGGUUAAGCGGAGCUGUCAUCGCAAGAGAAGCAGUGAAGUGAAGCCCCGGUAAACGGCGGCCGUAACUAUAACGGUCCUAAGGUAGCGAAAUUCCUUGUCGGGUAAGUUCCGACCUGCACGAAUGGUGUAAUGAUCCGGACACUGUCUCGACCGUGAGCUCGGUGAAAUUGUAGUAUCGGUGAAGAUGCCGAUUACCCGCAACGGGACGAAAAGACCCCGUGAACCUUUACUGCAGCUUAGCAUUGGGGCCGGGUGUGCGAUGUGUAGGAUAGUCCGGAGACAGCGAAGCCGGGACGCCAGUCUCGGUGGAGUCGACGUUGAAAUACGGGCCUUCGCACAUUUGGCUUCUAACUUGCGAUGCAAGGACAUUGCUUGGCGGGUAGUUUGACUGGGGUGGUCGCCUCCAAAAGCGUAACGGAGGCUCCUAAAGGUUUCCUCAGGCCGAUUGGCAACCGGCCGCAGAGCGCAAUGGCAUAAGGGAGCUUGACUGUGAGACCAACAAGUCGGACAGGAAGGAAACUUGAGCAUAGUGAUCCGGCGGUUCCGUAUGGAAGGGCCGUCGC
rnacentral:rRNA from 1 species